rnacentral:lncRNA from 1 species
CUUUAACAUAUGUUCCCACAUAGCCAAAUGAUUCAACUCAGUACAGUUAACAACUUAGAAAGGGAUUCAUUGAAUUUUCCAGGUCUCUUCAUGGCCAGAGUUGCUUUGUAAGGAGACCCUAAAUGUGGAAUAAUCAACAUGUUAAAGUAAUCUAGAUGUUUAUGAUUUGAUAACUCUUUAGUGCAUUGUUUAACAACAUGUUUUCAAUUUACUUUCCUUCAAAUAGCUCCAAAUAACCCCGUGAUUUUGGAUGAUUGAUUAUGGGAAUGCUGCUUUCACUGUACAUCCAAGCUCUCCUGGCCUCAGCGGAUAAGUAUAUGAGAGCACAGUUUUCCUGGUGUCAGGAUAUGAAGAUCCAGGGAACAAAGAACCUCAAAGAACAACACCUGGAUUGUCAAGGUUUGGCCAGCAGUGCACUUUCUCCAACCUUACAGUCAUACGCAAGCAGUUGUGGUUCUCCUGUCCAGCCUGCCACCACUGGACCAUCCCUGUAUACAUUCCUUCUCCCUUUGAAGAAAUCCACAAAAGAAAAAGCAAAAUACUGACAAGUUUUCAAAGCCAUGAUUUACAGGAAUGAAUUCUGAAAAGCAAGUGGCUAACAUCCGAGUUCAUCAUCAAAUAAUAUUUCUAAAGCACCCUCUAGUGUCUGGCCCCAAGCCAGAUGAUUCAACGCCUGGAGAAGCUACAGACUUUUUAAAAGUAAAAUAGACUCAUGUCUGCUCAUGAGAAGCAAGUCAGCGUCAUUUAGGAUGCCUUAGGAAUGUCUCUCUAAAUAAGGAUUAAAAAUGGAUUGCUGUAGAAAAAGUAAUACAAGUACAAACACUAAUAAUAUUGAAUGCAAUUUAAAUUCCAUUUUAAAAUAGAUAAUAGGGUUUAAAAUAACAUGUUGAAAAUUACACUGGAAUUAGCAAAAUUUAAAAUCUUAGGAAGAAAAAUCCUAAUUUGUAUGUGAAAAUGUUUUGAACUGAGGAAAAUUAAGACUAGCAAGAGUAGAUAGGGGUUGUCUAGUAGGAAUGUUAGACCCAUCAGCCAUCUGAUUAUGCUGCGACUGAUACUAGCGUGUAGUUUUCACCCAGUAAAUUAUCAAGUGGUGCAGUAGAAAAAGCAUGGUAUGUAGAAUCAUAAGACUCAUAGUCUGGGGUCACCUCUACUACUCACUUGGCCAUGUGGUUUGGAACACAUCACAAAAGAUUUAUGAGCCUUCGCUUCUUCACAUCUAAAAUCGUGAUUAUUUUGCCAACUCCAUGGAAUUGUUUAGACUUUAGAGGAUUACAUAGGAUACAAUGGACUAGUUCCUUGAACAAGUACUUGCCCCCAAAAUGUUACCAUUUUUUCUGGUUGUGUGACUGAUUUUGCAAUCAGCAAUUUAAUAAUAAUGCAUUCAACAGGUUUAUAAUAUGCAUUCAAUGUGACUCUUGCAUAUAUCUCAUAAAAACAAAUUUGAAUAUUUUUCUCAUUUUAUCACUCACAUAUCUUUGAGAAUGGGAUCAUAGUUUUAUUUUGAUAAUGAAGUAAUAGAGUCAAUUCCUGAACAGGCUAGUUGACUUUAAUGAGAAAUACCCAUUUAUUCACUCAUUCAUUUCAUUUUCAACUCUUAAAUCCAUAAUGGCCCCUUCACUAACUGCACUAACUGGGGUUCUUAUAUUAAUAAGAUGGACCAGAUGCUUCUAUCACCUCCAAAAAAUCUUUGUAGGCAGAGCAAUAAAGAGUACUGAAUCAUUUUAAGAAGUCGCAUAGACAAUGACUUUUGACCAUGGAAGGACUGGGCUUGAUCAAGCAAAUUCUAUUUCAAAGUUUUACUUGCAAGGUUAUUUAUUACUGUGUGGAAUCUCACUCCUGUGGCUGGGGUCAAGAAAAAUGGGGACACAGGUGUCUGCCUAUUUGCACAGGCAUUAAAAAGUGUUGUAAAAUGAGCUUCAGCCUUUUAAGUUACUGUCUUCUUCUUUAUAAUAAUAAUCUUUUCCAUUUUACAAGGUCUAUAUUAUUUUUAGGUAAGAAAACACUGUAGAGUUCAUGUUUUAUUGUUCCUUGCAGUUAUAUAAAUUAUAUUUGGCCAAAACAAAUGUAAUUCCUACUGUGUGAACUGGGAACCCAAAAUGUUGAUUUUCCUCAAGUUAUAAACAAUGUGAAGAUAUGUUAUACUGGGUCACAAUUUUCCAGAGCAGAGCAAAAUAUAUAACUCAGUUUUAAUAACAAAACUGCAUAUAUCAUUAAAGUUUCCUACUCCACACAGAAUGUAUUAUAUUACUCUGCCCAGCAAGAGACAUCCUUUGUGUAGACCACAAUUUCUAAAAUACCAUUUGAUUGAAUAGAAAACAGGUUAGCCAUUUGUUAGUUUAAA